rnacentral:lncRNA from 10 species
UUCAUUUUCUCAGUGAUAAUUGCCUUACUUGUUCUUCCUAAUCCCACUGUGGAAGAUAUAUUCCACCUGCUAUCUAAACUACUGCAAUAAGUUUUGAACUGGUCUUGCUGCUUCAAGUUGCUCCCAGACUCAUCUCAUCAAUUUGUAGAAGAAAAACUGUAGGAAUUUUUAUUGGAAUAGUAUUGAGUUUAUCAGUCAACUUGAGGCUAACAGACAUUGCAACAAUAUCAAGCCUUCUGAUCCACUGCACAGAGCUUCCUAUCCUACAUGAUUGUCUAUUGUAAUGCCAAAUUACAAGCAAUGGAGUCUCACUGUGUUGCCCAGGCUGGAGUGCUGUGGCAUGAUCUCAGCUCACUGCCAUCUCUGCCUCUUGAGUUCAAGCGAUUCUCCUGCCUCAGCUUCCCAAGUAGCUGGGAUUACAGGCGCACGCCACCACGCCCCGCUAGUUUUUGUAUUUUCAGUAGAGACGGGGUUUCACCAUGUUGGCCAGACUGGUCUGUAACUCCAGACUUCAGGUGAUCUGCCCACCUUGGCCUCCCAAAGUGCUGGGAUUACAGGCCUGAGCCACCAUGCCCAGCCAAUUUCCAUAUAUUUUUUAUACUGGGAUUUCAGAGAGUAAUUUCCUCUUCAUGUGUAACCAGUUAUGUGAAUUAAAACAGAUUCAGCCUUCUUUUACGGUUGUGAAAAACUGUAAUUCUUCCUCUCAAGUUCCCCCUUGGAAGGAGGGAUAUUUCAGGCUCAACAUUGUCCAGUCUGACCAUCGUUAGAGAGAAAGGCCUUAAAAUGUAUUUUCUAAAAGCUUUUCUAUAACUAAUCAACUUAAGUGUCAGUUGGGUGUCUGAGAUCUGUAAGACUUUGAGAUUAUUGCUCCAAAUUCCAUAGGACACUAAUCUCUUUCUUCUUAAUACUGUUUUUACUAAGAUUCAAGCAUAAGGGGCUUAUAUCCAAGGGGAUUUUUCCUAAGAAAAUGUAAAUAUAUAAAUAUAUGUACAGAAAUUAUUAAGAGUAGAAACAUUUGAGGAAUAGUGUGUCUAAUAGCAUAUACUCGGUGUUUUCCCCAUGAGUAAAUGAAAAAUGUUCAACAUAUAUGAAAAGAAUAAAGUGAAAAGUAAGAUCUUCAAAGAGGAUUAUUCGCUGCUGGAAAGUAAGUAAAAAGCAUCACAGAAGAGGCCAGACUCUCUGGCUCAUACCUGUAAUCUCAACAAUUUGGGGGGCCAAGGUAAGAGGAUCACUUGAGCCUAGGAGUAUGAGACCAGCCUGGGCAAUAUGGCAAGAUCUUCAAGACCUUGGCUCUACAUAAAAAAAAAAAAAAAAAAAAAAAAGCACGCUGAGCAUGCUCCUUGCUCCUCUGGUCCUAGGGAGACUGAGGUGGAAGGAUUGCUUGAGCCCAGGAAGUAGGGGCUGCAGCUGUGAUUGCAUCACUGCCCUUCAGCCUGGGAGACAGUGCAAGGCCUUGUCUCAAAAAAAAAAAAAAAAAAAAAAAAAAAAAAAUCAAGGAAGAGGACCCUUUUGCUUCAAAUAAGCAAAAAGAAAAGAAUAAAGUGAAUUUGUUUUCCUAUAUGGUAAUUGUGAAUUUUUCUAUUCCAUAAGGUAAUAGGGUCAUAAAUGCUGCUAGCUGAUGAGGCUGGGCCACUGCAACACUUAGGUGACAUAUCCAUUAGUUGCAGGUACUGCUAGAACCAGUGUUACUAGUACUGCCACCAUCUGCCAGUAACUGAGAACCAACACUCUUCCCAGUACUGCACCAAGAGGAACCUAAUGCAUAUUUCAUAAGCUUUCUAGGUAGAUAGAUGUCCAUGUUCCAUGGAGUGGUCCACCAUUUGCUAGCUCUAUGUCCUUGUGAUAUUCCUUUAUUUUCUCUACUUCUCACUUUUUCAUGUGUAAAAUGAGUCUCCUGGUGCUAUUCAUCUUAUAGGUUGUUUUCAGUACAGUUGGUCUCUGACAUACCAUGUUUUGACUUACAAUUUUUCAACUUUACAGUGGAUUUAUCAGGACAUAAGUCCAUCAUAAGUCAAAGAGCAUCUCUAUUAUGUAAAGUGUGUAUCACAAUGCCUAGAACACAAUAAGCUCUUGGUGAAGAGUUUUCUAUUAUUAUUCUUUUUAGUGUUUUCGUUAAUAUUGUUGUUAGUUUCUCUUUCUUACCUAUGAAAACUACAUGAGAGAUACAGGACUUUGGUGACUUGAAAAGCUAAAUCACUAAAUAAGUGUCAUCAUAAAGAAUGAUAUCCAGAGAAAGGAUUAUGAGAAGAUGGUAGAGUAGGAAGCACCAGGAAUCCAUCUACUCACCUACAUAAAAAUUACAGUGGAAGAAUCUGUUUGAUGUAAAUAUUUAGAACUAUUAAAGGCUUUCAACUUCCAGAAGAUUUUAGUUGUAUAUUGUGAUUAAUUUUGUUCAAUUGCAGCUCUCAGUGCAGUAGCAACUACCUGUCUAUCUGUAGCCACCGCCUCCCCAGCCUCCCACUCCCUACUCCUCACAGUCAUAGAGGAGGGCAUCCAUUGUCUGUUGCACCUGCCCCCAUUUGUUGAUUGUUGCAAGCCCCUCCCCUCUGGCUGAAGUGACUUCCUGGAGGUUUACAGGGCCAGUGAUUUUCAUUUUCACUUCAUGUUCUCUUUUUUCCUUUAUGAGAGUCAGACAUUGUUAAAGAUUAAGAUAUUAAAAAGCAACCACAUAUGUGCAGAAAUUAGAAAGCCACCACAAUUGCUCAAGGAAAGGUGCAGGCUCAGCAAAGACCUAAACAGCCUCAAAUUUAUACCUCAAGUUCAUCAUCAGCACAGAGAAAACCAGCAGCACAAUUAAAUUUUUAAAAAAGCAAACAUCAAAAAAAAAAAAAAACAUCCAAGUGAAAAAGAAUAAAAUUGGACCCGUAAUUAACACCAUAUAUAAAAAUUAACUCAAAAUUAAUGUAAGACCUAAAUAUAAGAUCAGAAGUGAUAAAAGUCUUAGAAGAAAGUGAAGCACAGGGCACAUCUUUAUGUUGAGAAUUCCUAAAACCCAAGAACAAAAACAAAAUAAAAUUUAUAAAUGAGGAAGAUACUUGAGUAGACAUUUCUCCAAAGAAGAUAUACAAAGGAUCAAGUAUUAGGGACAUUAGGCACAUGAUUAGGGAACAUCCCUAAUCAUUAGGGAAGUAGAAAUCAAAACUACAAUGGGAUACCCUCUCGCACCCAUUAGAACGGCUGCUAUCCGAAACAAAAACAGAUAAAAAGUGUUGGUGAGGAGGUGAACAAAUUACAAUACUUGUGCAUCGUUGGUAGGAAUAUAAAAUGGUACAACCACCGUGGAAGGCAGUAUGAUAGUUCCUCAAAAAAUUAAAAAUAGAAUUAACAUAAAAUCCAGGAGUUCCAGUUGAAGGUAUAUACUCAAAAGAAUUUGAAGAGAUAUUUUGAAGAGAUAUUUGUAGAAUUAUAUUCACAGUAACAUUAGCUAAUACGUAGAAUCAAACCAAGUGUCCAUUGACAGAUGGAUGAAUAAGUAAAAUAUGGUACAUCCAAUGGAAUAUUAUUUAGCUUUAAAGGAAGGAAAUUCUGGCAUGUUUACAAGAUGGAUGAACCUUAAGGACAUUAUUCUAUGUGAAAUGAGCUGGCACUAAAGGACAAAUGCUGUAUGAUUCCACUUGUGUGAGGUAUUUAGAGUAAUCAAAUUCAUAGAGACUGUGGGUAGCAAGCCACCCAGGUGCCGAGGCAAGAGACCGAAGGCACAAGCUGUUCCAGUAUAAUAAAAUAUAUAGAAUCAGAAUAGUUAUACUAGAAAUAGAUUAUAGAUAUGAUUAUGAAUAUUAUUAAUAAUUAGUUUGUAGCAUUACUCUUUACUCCAAUAUUAUAGUAAUAUUUCUUCUACAAUUAUAACCUAGGAAAAACCAGGCCAUGCAGAGAUAGGAGGUGAAGGGACACGGUGAGAAGUGACCAGAAGAUGAGUGUGAGCCCUCUGUUAUGCCCGGGCAGGGCCACUAGAGGGCUCCCUGGUCUAGCGGUAACACCAGUGCCCGAGAAGGCACCUGCUACUUAGCGGACCUUGGUCUAGGGAUAGCACCAGUGCCUGGGAAGGCACCCGUUACUUAGCAGACUGGGAAAGGGAGUCUCCCUUUCCCCGGGGGAGUUACAGAAGAAUCUGCUCCAUCACUUCUUGUGGAAGGCCUGACAUCGGUCAGGCCCACCCACAGCCAUCCGGAGGCCUAAACGUGUCUCUGUGAUGCUGUGCUUCAGCGGUCACGCUCCUGGUCCACUUUCAUGUUCUGCCCUGUACACCUGGCUCUGCCUUCUAGAUAGUAGUAGCAGAAUUAGUGAAAGUAUUAAAGUAUUUGAUCUUUCCGAGAAAUACAUAAAAGAAAUAAUGAUGUAAGCUGUCCCCUCUCUCCACCUUGGCUACCAAAUAGGGAAGGGACCCCUGUCUGGUAGACACGUGACUCGCAUGACCUUACCCAUCAUUGGAGAUAACUCACAUUCCUUACCCUCUUGCCUUGUAUACAAUAAAUAACAGCGCGGCCAGGCAUUCGGGGCCACUACCGGCCUCCGUGCCUUGGUGGUAGUGGUCCCCCGGGCCCAGCUGUCUUUUCUUCUAUCUCUUUGUCUUGUGUCUUUAUUUCUAUGAUCUCUCGUCUCCAUACACGAAGAGAAAAACCCACAGGUCCUGUAGGACUGGACCCUACAGAGACAGAAAGUAGAAUGGUAGCUUUCCAGGGCUAUGGGAAUGGGGAAAUCGGGAGUUAUUGUUCAAUGAA